AAUAAUUUUUAAUAUUUCACUCUCACCGCCCCCAUUUUUCUUACAUUCCACCUGUUACGCAUGCUCAACUUGGUCUCAUUUUCUUACCCUCAGUCCAACGAAAAUAUGUGAACUGUUAAGACCGACUCAAAUUCACCUUUGUGUUUCUCCGUAAGUUUCGCCUCUUUUUUCUUUUUUAAUUAUCAAUUUUUUUGAUUAUCAAUUUUUUCUUUGUUUACUUUUCCAGUUCUCGUUACUCGAAGAACAUUUCACCCUUUUUUGGGGUUUCUUUUCACAUUCUCCGGUUUUUUCAUUGAGGUUCCCAAAACCACUUUUGACAUUUCUGUUUCUACCUAAACUCUAUAAUUUAAAAUCAUCCUUUCACCACCCUACAAUAUUAAUUACUUAUUCCUUUUCAUAUUUCCCGUUACUUAAUUUAAGUCACUCUUUGUUUUUUGUUUUUACCGUAAUGAUUCACCGCUGUGGGUUUUGAUGGUUUUUGCACUUUGGCCGGACUUUCCUUUCAACUCAACCACGUAUUCUUCCAAUUUGACGUCGUGCCCGAUGAAGACAAAUUAUUGUCGAAACAUGUAGCACCGAACCAAUUUAAUAAAAGAAUUUUCAUCGUCA